AGAUCGAACUGUAGAGUUUGAUCCUGGCUCAGAUUGAACGCUGGCGGAAUGCUUUACACAUGCAAGUCGAGCGGCAGCGCGGGGCAACCUGGCGGCGAGCGGCGAACGGGUGAGUAAUACAUCGGAACGUGCCCAGACGUGGGGGAUAACUACUCGAAAGAGUGGCUAAUACCGCAUACGAUCUACGGAUGAAAGCGGGGGAUCGCAAGACCUCGCGCGUCUGGAGCGGCUGAUGGCAGAUUAGGUAGUUGGUGGGAUAAAAGCCUACCAAGCCAACGAUCUGUAGCUGGUCUGAGAGGAUGAUCAGCCACACUGGGACUGAGACACGGCCCAGACUCCUACGGGAGGCAGCAGUGGGGAAUUUUGGACAAUGGGCGAAAGCCUGAUCCAGCCAUUCCGCGUGCAGGAUGAAGGCCCUCGGGUUGUAAACUGCUUUUGUACAGAACGAAAAAGCUCUGGCUAAUACCUGGAGUCCAUGACGGUACUGUAAGAAUAAGCACCGGCUAACUACGUGCCAGCAGCCGCGGUAAUACGUAGGGUGCAAGCGUUAAUCGGAAUUACUGGGCGUAAAGCGUGCGC
rnacentral:rRNA from 1 species